UGCUGUGAGCUUCUUUACAGUGUUGCCUUGUGGCAUGGCGAUCAAGCAGCAUUGUACAGGGCUAUCACCGCACACAGAGCUGC
rnacentral:pre_miRNA from 1 species